rnacentral:lncRNA from 1 species
GACUAUCACAUUUUAAUUAAAACAAAGGUUAGGAUGCUGAUCAGUCAUACCUAACCCCGAGCAGGCCCCGCCAUGCUCUGUCACUGGAUCCAAGGCACUCAUUGGCCUAACAUGACCACUCAUCUGGUCUGACCACUCAUUUGGUCCACAAAAUUUUAUAAAAACAAUAAUCCAAUUCUAUAAUUCAAUUCAACAGGUCAGUGUAAAUCAACAGAACAUCCUCAUAAAUAUCAUCAACAACAGAUUAAUUUCAAAUCAAACUUGGAUAAUAAUCUAUCCAUAAAUCAUGAUCCAUCAUUUCAUAAAUCACAGUUCAGGAAAUCCUCAACUAUUCAGUAUCCUCCAUUAUCGGCUAAGCAACUGAAUUUAGCCUGCUAAACCAGCAUGACAAUGGCGGGUUGAAUAAUCAAGAAGAUCCCAAUUCAUUCAAAGCUCUAACUAUCACUGAGCAACACAUGCUUCAAUGACAAUCUGAACUUCGAAUUAAUUUGUAAAACGGAAAUUCUUUAGAAACUUGAAGAUUAGAAAGAAUGGGUCAGAAUACUCGCACUUUCGAACAUUGAAAAGAAAGGUAUGAAUACUUGAAACAUAUACCAAAGGAAUGGAUCAGAAUAUUUGCAAUAUAUCCAAGAGAAAGGUUUAGGAUACUUGCCUUAAAUCUGACUCCAGUCUCACAUCUCAAUCUCAUCUUUCCACUUUCACAAUCUAUGCAUCUCAUAGUCUCUAGACCAUCUCUGGCUAUACUCUAUCUACCGUACAUCUUCGCUUCGCUUACUCGAUUCAUCCCUUAUUCGCUUUGUAACACCACGUGACUUUCUGAACGUCUUCGGGCAUACACGUCUCGUCCAAAUCCUUUACGAGAAUAAGAUAAUACUAUAGUCACUAAACAAUAUAUCGCAUAUACAUAUCACGUAUAUCGAUACCCACUUAUAUACCCCUUUAAACUUAUCACAUAUCACUUAACACGUAAUCAUGCUUUGACUCUACCAUAUAGUCAAGUCAUAUUCCACAUAACAUAUUACCAAUCACUUAUCAUAUGAAUCCUAUCGAAAAUCCGACAUCGUCUCGUCUAUUUAUUAGACUAUCCACCUGUUAUCCUAUCUCAAUCAACAAUCAACCAACAAGAUCCAAUCACUAUAAUCCAUAUAUUCUUAUCCAAUAUCAAUCAACUCACGACACUAUGUCAUCCAAAUCAUUUAUCACACGCAUAUACUAUCAUGAAUAAACAUGUAUAUCACGUAGUCAUUAGUUAAUAGCAACCAAAUAACAUAUAAUCACAUUUUGCACAUUUAACAAAAAUUAUUCAGAUUCUCGACUCCAUCAUAAUAUUAUGUCAUAUCAAACUAGACUUUAUAAGCUUCUGUCUCUCUUUCGUUUCACUUGAUUCCGACUUACGGAUCAAAAGUUAUGAUCAAAACCGUUUUCUAACUCCUCUAUCGGCACAUAACACAUCAAACAGAUAGCAGACAACACAUUACACAUAAGGUUUCCCACCCCAAUUGAUAUCAAAUCAACUCUUGGGUUAAAAAUGAUUUUUCGGGAAUUUUCUGGAAUUUUUAAACAUUUUUCGGAAUUAAAAUCGAUAAAAGAAUCACUUUUCGGAUAAAUAAUCAAGUCCCAAAUACUUGAAAUUGGACUUGAAAUCAUUCAUAAACAAUUAUCGAGCCUUGAAAAUAAUUUGGAAAAAUAUUUUAAAGCUCGAAACUAUUUUUCGGAAUUUUUAAAUCAAAAAGGAUUAAUUAAAUCCAAUUAAUUAAUCAAUUAAAAUCAAUUAAUAAUUAAUUAAAAUAAUUAAUCAAUUAAUAUUUAAAUUAAUUGACCAAUUAAAAUAAUUAAUUACUAAUUAAAAUUAAUUAAUAAACUAAUUUAGAUUUAUUUUUGAAUAAAGAAAUAAUUAAAAACUAUUUUUGGAAUUUAAAAUAAUUAAAUAAAACAAUUUUAGAAAAUUAAAUCAAAAGGUUUAUUUUGUAAACUUUUGAAAGUUUUUGUCCAGGGUUUAAAGUGUAACUUUCAAAAGUUACAGGGGGUGUUUUGUAAGAUUCAAAACUUAGGUACAACAACUUCACCACCUUCAAAACUUCGGUGACCAAACAGCAAUUUGCCGUCGGCCACCAUACUAACUCGCCGGAAACCUCGUUCCCGGCCUCCCCGAGCUCCCACAAACUCCAGAUAGCAUAUUUGGAAUACCAUAAACGUAAAACCGCCCUCAGAUUCAUCAGAAGCGGCCAUAUUUGGCCAUAGAAUGCAAAACAAAACUCGCCGCCGGCGACUUCCUUUUGAACUCCGGCGAGCCAUUUCCAGACAUCCCACAUAACUGUUGAACAUACACACAAGUUCCUCUCAUCACGCUCUUUCUAAUGAUAUAGAUCACAAUAGCCCAGAAUUUCUAGAUUAAAAACGCCUCUUUUUCAAUUAAGAAAAUUCAUAAACCUCCAAGAACAUUCAAGAACACAACUCCGAGAAUUAAACCAACGUUUCUAUAUGUUAUCGAAGUCAAAAUUCGACAUAUAAUAUACCAAAACGACGAGAAAAACAUGCUCUACAACAUAGAAUCAUCAAAACAACCAAAUAAUAUCAUUUACAAAAAUUCAUCCUUUAAAUCAAAAUAGCUCGAAUUUUGUAAAAUUUAUGUAAAAUCACCUGAUAAAUCUGCAUACAAACGGGUGAUUAAACAUGAUUCUACGCGUCGAUAGCUUCGUUUUGACUAUUCGUACACCUCCAUCGGAUUCCAAUAACACCUCCAAAUCCUCGUUUGAUUAUGAAGAACACGAAGAACACCGCUCGGUUUCUCUCGGUAUUUGUGAAAAGAAACUGGUGAAAAUGAUUUCUACGGUGAAAAUCAGCUAUAGAAAAGUCUAUUUAUAUUUACAAAUACUUGGUACCCCUUUGGAUCGUUUAUGACAUGAAAAUACGUAUUUAAUAGCUUUAUAUUAAUAAAGCGGGGUCCAAUCGGUACUGGUUUUCAAGAUAAUCAUCAAAACGGGGCUUUUUAAUCAGUCAUUAGUAUGCGGGUCCCACUGCAAUUAUUACAAGAUAAGGAUGAAUCAAAAUAUCUAGUUUCACGUUUAUCGAGACAACCAGAUAAUUAUCAACAAUUAAAAUACCCGAAAAACUCCGCCGGACCGACUACGGGGAAAACCGUACUCCGGAUCGAAAAAGUCAAAACACGAAAAAUGUCCGGAAUAUUCAAAUUAGGCUAAAGGUGAGUUUUGUUGAAACUUCCGGGAAGAAAAUUUGCUACCUCGUUACGAGUGGACGGUUUUACGGAAGUCAAAUAAUUAAUAAAUAAAUAUAAAUAUACGCAAUUAAAUCCGUAAAUCGAUUAUAAAAUCAUCUAACAUUCCAUAAAUCGAUAUGAAAAUAUCCAAAUAAACUAUAUUUUCUCCUGAGCAUAUAGAAAUUGAAAUCUCUCAAAUACGAACACAUAUGAGCAGUUAACGCAAUAAACCAGAUAAUAUAAAAUUCACAAAAAUUCAUAUAUUAAUCAUAUAAUACUCAUAAUUAACCAUAAUUAAUUAACCAACAAAUCCACCAAUACCACUUACUCACAUCACACAUAUAUUCACAUAAUAAUCAUCUAGAAUUUUCGAAACAAUAUAUGAAAAUCAGUUUUAAAAAUAUAAUCAUUUAUCAAUAACACAAUAACCCGGGGUUUAAUAUAAAAUUUUGAAAACUCCUUAAACUGGAAUAAAAUAUUAAAUCUUAUUCCUUACUUAUUAAGAAGACCACUUAUAAUACUAAUAAAAAUAUUUUUAAAAAUCCGGGUCAUUACAAUCUACCCUCCUUAUAGGGAUUCCGUCCUCGGAAUCAGAGAAAGAAGGAGGACGCAUAAUCUGUAAAAUCCAUAUUAAUCCACAAAACAAGUAUAAUCACAUACAACUAUUCACAUAAUCAAAUCAAUAUUCAACUAGAGACAACAAUAAUAUCUAGACAAAUAGAUUUAUAAUAAUCAAAUCUGAAUUUAAUAAUAUGGGAUAUUACAUUCUACCCCCCUUAUAAGGAUUCCGUCCUCGGAAUCCUCCGAAGAAACUAAAACGUACACACUUCGUAAUAUCAUAUCGUCAUCCACCUUUGAUUGAUCUUGGCAUACCUUUAACUUUAAUGGAAAAGGAACAUCAAACUUUCGCGAUUGUAAAAUUCAUUUCCCAAGAAUCGAUCUUUGGGAAUUUUCGAAUAGAAUAAGGUGUUUUCAAAAUAGGUCACAUUGAAAUACAAGAGUGACUGGGAGAUCAAUACGAUCAAAUGAACUUAAUGUUGCGUGUCCAUAUUAGACACUACUAAAGGUUGUUAACCUUCUUGUAAUCACAACACACACAAGUGAUGGCGUCCCAUCCAACUCCUAUCACACAGACAGGUAUACCUUGUGUCCCCUAUACACAGGGUUGUUCAUCCCAAUCAGAUGGAAAGAAUCCAAGAAAUCUCAAGGAGCAUCAAGGAAUGUUGAGGAUUAUCGAGGAAUAUAUUAAGGAAUAUUGAAAAGAUAUCAAGGAAUAUCAAAGAGUGUCAAAGAAUAUCAACGAAUAUUAAGGGAUAUCAAAGAAUUUGAAAGAAUAUCAAGGGAUAUCAAAGAAUAUCAAAUAAUAUCAAGGAAUUCCACUGUCUCGUCAUAAACACGCCUUUAUCAUACACCGAUUCAAUACCAACUCACACCAAUAAUCAAUAUCAUUAUCAUCUUAGAAUGUGAGAAAUUGAAAAUCUCAUUUAUCAAAAUGAUAUCAUAAUAACUCACUGAUGAAGAACAUAAUCAAAAGAAUCUUUAGUUGAAGAGAGGUAUUGCCAAGGUCUUCUCAAAUUCCCACUAUGCUUUACGAAAUCGUUAUUCGAUUCAUGUCUUCCUUUCAACGUUCUCGAUAGUCGAUUGACGUUCGUUCGUAGCAGCCUCGUAAAAUUCAUAGUAGACGUUAUCGUUCGUAAUAAGUCUUGGCCUCCACUUCAUCCCCAUUAUCUGUGAAGUCACUAGCAAAACACGUAGCAUAUCAUCGAUUGUAUGGAUCGCCAACCUGUGGGUUAUGGGCCCACCUCGAUGUCGUUUAAAGUCCCGAUUAACUUAAAGCGUCAUCGCCGAGGACUAACGUUCUAACUUACUCGCACUCAUCACCUCUAAUAACUGGACUCAACCCCACAUUCUCUCUAUCAUGCACUUCUCAUCUAUCAACCUCUAUCUACUAAUCUCUCCUUCUAAUUCAACACAACUCAUAUUCUACACUAACUCUUCAUAUCUUACUAAAACCAUAUACAUCUUCCAAAUAUCUGACAUGGUCAACAUACUAUGAACCAUGCAUCUUUAUCAUUUUCAAAUCAAUACACUAGACCAUUUUCAACUAUGCAGUAUAGUCAGAAUACUCUGAACUCUGCAUUUUCACCAUUCUUAACUCAAUCAUUCACUAUCAAACUCUUCUAUCUAGGUCUAAUCUUGACCUUCCUCACAAUUCAACAUCUCAAUGAGUCAACAUACUAGAAAUCAUAUGUCUAACUUAGGAAUCAAAAUCUCUCUAACCUUAUACACUCAACUUAAUCAUCUAACUAGAUUCUAUUCCUGUCACAUCUCUAAACUAUUCCCAGAUAGUCUCACAAUACCUCUACAUGAGGUCACACCACAUUCUUCUCUAGAAAACCUAUAACCAUGAUCUAUAUUCCAAUUUCAAAUACUUAUAACCUGUCGCUCUGAUACCAACUGUGACAGUCCGAGAAUCCGGGGGUCUGGAUCCUGACGUCACCACACAAAAACCUUUUUAAAACACUUUGGAAACCUGUAUAUUUUUUUUUUGAUAAUGGAAAUUCAAAUAAUUUGAAAACAAAAAGAUUUAUUAAAAGAUCUGAAAGAGAAUAUUAAUCAAAUGAUUUCAAAACCUGAAUUUCAAAACUUGAAAGCCAUAAUAAAAGAUUCGAAAGAGAACAUUUGUACCCCCUAAAACAACAGGAUCGCAUCCAGGUUACAGUAUUGAAAUUAGAAUCUACCACUAUUAUUACACAACAUCUCUUACCAAAUCAGAUCAUCUUCGAUAAGAAGAAUCACUGUCAACUAUUCCAGCUAUGACUUGCACUUGAAUCUAUGUAGCACAGCUCUAGCUUGCACCAACCUCAUCAACUUUCCUGAACACUCCUCGCCUAGCCUUAGCUUUACUCGCAAUCAUAGACUAGCCAUUCAUCUUUAAUCCUUUCUGAAAUGGUUAAGAAAGGAAUAGCAAGAGUGAGCAACAAUGCUCAGCAAGUAAUAAUAAACAAUAACAAUAGUGAAUCAAUAUGAUAGUAGUUCAAAGGCUCAAGAUACUUUAGUAAAAGAUUCGACAUAAAUUCAUAAGAUUAAGGUAUUGUAUAGAAUGAUUCACAAUACCUUGCAACAAUGGAAUACUGGAGUAAUUCAAUCUUUCCAAGAGAAUUAUUGAAUUGGACUAUCACAUUUUAAUUAAAACAAAGGUUAGGAUGCUGAUCAGUCAUACCUAACCCCGAGCAGGCCCCGCCAUGCUCUGUCACUGGAUCCAAGGCACUCAUUGGCCUAACAUGACCACUCAUCUGGUCUGACCACUCAUUUGGUCCACAAAAUUUUAUAAAAACAAUAAUCCAAUUCUAUAAUUCAAUUCAACAGGUCAGUGUAAAUCAACAGAACAUCCUCAUAAAUAUCAUCAACAACAGAUUAAUUUCAAAUCAAACUUGGAUAAUAAUCUAUCCAUAAAUCAUGAUCCAUCAUUUCAUAAAUCACAGUUCAGGAAAUCCUCAACUAUUCAGUAUCCUCCAUUAUCGGCUAAGCAACUGAAUUUAGCCUGCUAAACCAGCAUGACAAUGGCGGGUUGAAUAAUCAAGAAGAUCCCAAUUCAUUCAAAGCUCUAACUAUCACUGAGCAACACAUGCUUCAAUGACAAUCUGAACUUCGAAUUGAUUUAUAAAGCUGGAAUUCUUUAGAAACUUGAGGAUUGAAAAGAAUGGAUCAGAAUACUCGCACUUUUAAAUAUAGCACAGAAAGGUAUGAAUAUUUGAAACAUAUACCAAAGGAAUGGAUCAGAAUAUUUUCAAUAUAUCCAAGAGAAGGAUUUAGGAUACUUGCCUUAAAUCUGACUCCAGUCUCACAUCUCUAUCUCAUCUUUCCACUUUCACAAUCUAUCCAUAUCAUAAUUUCUAGACCAUCUCUAGCCGUACUCUAUUCGCCACAUCGCUUCGCUUACUCGAUUCAUCCCUUAUUCGCCUUGCAAUACCAUUUCGACUUCCUGACGUCUUCGAGCGUACAAGUCUCGUCCAAAUCCU